GACGAACGCUGGCGGCGUGCUUAACACAUGCCAGUCGAACGAAGAGCGACGGAAGCUUGCUUCUAUCAAUCUUAGUGGCGAACGGGUGAGUAACGCGUAAUCAACCUGCCCUUCAGAGGGGGACAACAGUUGGAAACGACUGCUAAUACCGCAUACGAUCUAACCUCGGCAUCGAGGAUAGAUGAAAGGUGGCCUCUACAUGUAAGCUAUCACUGAAGGAGGGGAUUGCGUCUGAUUAGCUAGUUGGAGGGGUAACGGCCCACCAAGGCGAUGAUCAGUAGCCGGUCUGAGAGGAUGAACGGCCACAUUGGGACUGAGACACGGCCCAGACUCCUACGGGAGGCAGCAGUGGGGAAUCUUCCGCAAUGGACGAAAGUCUGACGGAGCAACGCCGCGUGAGUGAUGACGGCCUUCGGGUUGUAAAGCUCUGUUAAUCGGGACGAAAGGCCUUCUUGCGAAUAGGGAGAAGGAUUGACGGUACCGGAAGAGAAAGCCACGGCUAACUACGUG
rnacentral:rRNA from 1 species